GACGAACGCUGGCGGCGUGCUUAACACAUGCAAGUCGAACGGAAAGGCCCUGCUUUUGUGGGGUGCUCGAGUGGCGAACGGGUGAGUAACACGUGAGUAACCUGCCCUUGACUUUGGGAUAACUUCAGGAAACUGGGGCUAAUACCGGAUAGGAGCUCCUGCUGCAGGGUGGGGGUUGGAAAGUUUCGGCGGUUGGGGAUGGACUCGCGGCUUAUCAGCUUGUUGGUGGGGUAGUGGCUUACCAAGGCUUUGACGGGUAGCCGGCCUGAGAGGGUGACCGGCCACAUUGGGACUGAGAUACGGCCCAGACGCCGACGGGAGGCAGCAGUGGGGAAUAUUGCACAAUGGGCGGAAGCCGGAUGCAGCAACGCCGCGUGCGGGAUGACGGCCUUCGGGUUGUAAACCGAUUUCGCCUGUGACGAAGCGUGAGUGACGGUAAUGGGUAAAGAAGCACCGGCUAACUACGU
rnacentral:rRNA from 1 species